GAAGCCUUUCUAAUGACUCCAGAAAGGCAAAACCCCAGCAGUCAGGUAUUCCUUGAACCAGUGAGGAGAAGCUGUUUCUGUGAAGAACAGAGGCCCAGUGUUUCAGAAGAUGAUGAGUGUAGCAGGGCACUAAGGUGCCUGCUACUGAGAGAGCCAGGAAGACUCCUCAGGUGCCGGUUGCUGAGGCAACUUGUGGGAAAUAAUGACCCACACCUGCCUAGCCAGCUGAUGAGAAGGGACAGGGCCUGGCCCCUAUAUAGACGGCAAGCAGGAGGCUAGGCAGUAGUUGCUGUCUGGCAGCCAAGGAGGAGGGAGCUCUCAGCCAUGUUACAAAGGAGAGGCCUGAGGAAGGAGCUGCAUCAGAUACAGUGGAGAGAGAAAGGUCCAGCAGCUACACACAGGGGAGAACCGCCAGCUGUUGGUGGAGAUGCAGCUGCAAGGAUGCCACCACCAUCAGCUGGCACCCUCCACAUGCUGUCUCUGCCAGCACUGGACCAAGGACUGCAUCAUGCUGCUGGAACGGCUGGUUGCUGCAGUGGAGGAGUGCUUCACAGACUCCUGGGCCUGGUGCUGCUAGGACCUGGACAGGGACCAGGAGGACUGUGCCCUCAUGGAAAGGACCCUCACCCUCCUGGAGAGGAUGGUAGAAGCUGAGGAAUAGCAAUGCGCUGUUGUGGCCUGGGUGGUGGAGGCGAUGGCGGAGGACCACCACUUUCUGGACGUCAUCCUGGCCCUGACAGUUCCCUUUGUGCCACCUGAUGCCCAGCCCUGGCCCUGUCCCUGGCCUUGGCCCCAGCCCCACCUGGACCCUGGCAGCUACCUGUGGCCCAGCACCAAUCCCCCCAGUAGGCUUGGGAGGAGGUUCUGUGCCUACUCCUGAGCCUGGUCCCUAGCAGCCUAGCCCUUUGCAUAGGCCAUCACUUACUACUCUUUUCCCCUCCAUUUAGCCUCUUAGUGGGAGCUGCCCACAGUUGGGCCAGGUCCCCACAUGGGCCCUGCUGGCCCUGGCCCCAUGGAAGAUAAGGUCUGAGUGGGCCCACCCUUGCCCCCAGGCCAGCCCCCAGACCACUGGGCUCACUGCAGUGUCUGCACCCAAGGUAGUGGCAGAAGUUGGGGUGCUGAAUGCCUCUACCCAGGAUCCACACCAUAGGCACCUCCACCCACUGUUUCCUCCCUACCCCCACCAGCUGAGAAAACACACUGUACAUAGUUGCAUGGGAUGCGGCAGUGGCAACACAUAGGGGAUGUACUGGGGUGCAUAUGUAUCCCCUGAGAGCGCCAGUGCACCCCCUGACCAGCCACACUUAGGCAACGGGCAGAGGGGGAAGGCGGGAGUGCCAGUCACUCACUGGUCACUGGGGGGGCAUAUGCCCCCCCUGAAUAAGGUGGCACCAGUCACCCAUGGGAUGUGGGACCUUUUUUUGGUGGUGCAUGUUAGGAUUAGGGAGGGAAGUAAGGAGCGGGGUUGUUGUUGGGAAGGAAGGAGUGUGCUUUUGAGGAGGGAGGGAAGGAGAGUGUCCUGUUGCUGUGAGGGUGUCAGGGUUUGUUAUUGUGUGGUGGAGGGAAGUAAAGUUAAUUGUUUGUUACACACUUUCCAUAGUGUGUGGUCUUGGGGUUGACCUGUGGUCCUAAGGUCCAUGGGCAGCUGCACAGGCACCCUACUAUGGGGAGUGGGGGAGGAAGUGGCCAGCGAGUGCCUCAGGGACAUGGUGCUCUGGCUGCCUUUGCUGGGGCAGAGGGCAAGAAGCGUACAUGGGUGCACUGGUCACAGGCUCCUGGGAACACAUCCCCUGCUAGGCUGAGCCUGCCCCUAGAGCCCCCUGCCAGGCAAGAUUGUCCCUGGAGCUCUCUGCCAGCCUGAGCCUGCCCAUCUGUGUCUCCUGCCAGCCUGAGGCUGCCACCCCCCCCCCCCAUGACCACUGCCAUCCUGGGGAUGGCACCUGGGCAGCUGAGGAUGGAGCCUGCAGUCUCCCCUGGCUGCUGCAGGGGGGCAGAGCAGAGUGGGAGCAGCCCUUAACCUGACUGUGCCCAUUGGCCGCAUCCAGAUGAGUGUGGCCAUGCAGCAUGUGCCACCACAGAUACAUCUGUGGCACCACAGACUGCAAGUUCCAUUGUUUUCCAUGCUGCUCCUUGCAGCAUGGAGGGGUUUUUUUUUGUCCCCCUGGGUACCAUGGAGGAAAAAAAAGCAAAGCUGCCCAUGCAGCAGUAAUGUGCACCGCCCAAAGCUGGUGCCUGGCUAGCCAAAGCUGUGCUCCAUUUCUGUCCAGGCUCAAUGUGGCAGGAUCACCACAGCUGCAGCCCUGGGAGGCCCUCAGGACCCCAGGUAAGGCUGCUGGGGCCAGCCCAGUGGUGUUCCCUCACCUGAUCCACAUCAAUUUUGGCUCCAACACCCAAGUCCAGGAUGGUUUGUGUCCUUUUUGACAGUGUGAUCCUCCUGGGAGGGUGAAAAACUGAUGCAAAAAAGUCAUUUAGGAGAUUGGCCCUUUCUUGCGUGUCAGAUGUCAGUUGUCCUGUUAGAUCUCACAGCGGCUCAAUGCUAUCUUUGUUCUUUUUUCAACUUCCCACGUAUCUGAAGAAGGACUUUUCCUUGUCCUUGAUUCCUGUUCAGUUUGUGCAAUGGCUUUUCUGGACUGUUCUCUACAGGUGUGGGCAAGUGCUGAGUAGUCGUCUUUGGUGACGCUUCCUGUGUUCCAACUGGUGUAGGCUUCUCUUUUGAGUUUAAUUAGGUCCAACAGUUCCUCACUCCGCCAAGGGGGCUUCCUUGCCCAUUGACUGCAUUUCUUGUGAGAUGGAAUGGCUUUCCUCUAUGCUCCUAAGAUUAUGUUCUUGAGAGAUGGCCAUUCCUUGUGUACUCCCUUUUCUGGGGGAGGUAUGGCCUCUAAUUGCCUGACAGACCAAUUAUCUGAGUUUGCAAAAGUCAGCCUUCCCAAAGUUAAGGACUUCUGUUUUACUGAGGGGCUUGCCUGCUCUUCAGUGAACUAAGUAGGUGACCAAUUCAUGGUCACUUUCACCAAGAUUCCCCUUGAUCCUCACAUCACUCACCUUUCUAUUUCUGUUUCUCUUUGUGCCCAAAGCCACGAUUUUUAUUCACUCUCACUAGAGAGGUUUGGCUUUCAUUUGGAGGGGUUUAGUACCAGUUCUGCUUAGUUUUUACUAUAAUAAUCAAGAGUAAAUUCAAAACAAUAUGUUGGAAGGUUUAAUCUUAAGAACAUAUGGAUGCAUCCACACAAGGCCAUCUGCCUGCCAGUGGCUAGCACUAGCUGUUUCAGAGGGAGAUGUUAGAAGCCAAGCAGUUGGCAAUCAUGGAAUAAUUUGCCCACCAUGGUCAUUUCCUCCUAAUGGAAAUCAGUUACUGGCUCGCUUAUGCACUGGACAGCUUCAUCUUGUGAAAGUUCUUUCUAAUAUGCAUAUACUGUAUAUACCCAAAUUGAAGAUGGCUUUGAAUUUAGGGUGGUCUUCCACUAAGUAGAAUCAAUACAAAGAAAAUUUAUAAAUGUCUUAUAACAUUCCAUAUAUAGAAUCUAAUUAGUCAAAGGUCACCUUAAAUUCACCACCCCCUGGCCACAGUGGCAGGGAAAGCAAUGGUAAGAUGAGAGGGGUCAUUGCCUGCCCCUCAAGCCUGCACCUGCCCCCCUACUGACCAUUUUCCCCCUGCCAUCUGUCCCUCUGUGUCUGCCCUCUGUUGCCUGUCACCCUGCCCCUUGACCCACCAUGCCUCUUCAUGCCUGUAUGACCACCUUGUCUGCCCCCCCGUGCAACUUAUCUUUUGCUGUAGCUGUGCUCCAGCUCUGGAGCAGUCAGCAAUAGUGGUGAAUCAGGAGAAGAGGCAGCAGGUCCCAGCUGGGCCAGGUUGGGACUGGAGGAACUGGAGUCACAGCAGAAGGUCUACAAAGAGGACAGCUCAGGAGAGGGUGCAGGUGGUGUGGUCUUCCCUGAACUUCCCCCUGAGCUGCACUUGUGUAUCUCUUCUGUUCCCUCCCACGAACCCCAUGGUCUACCCAAUGCUCCCCUGGCUGCAAGCUCCCUCACCUGCCAAGUGAAUCAUUUGGUCCCAGGCAGGUGGCAGCUCAGCUCUGGCUUCAGUUCUGAGCCCAGCUCUCUGCCCCAACGCUAGUACUCAAAUUUAAAAUAAAGUUGUUUUUUUUUUUUUUUUUUUCUCCCAUACUGGUUAGGGAGGAAAAGCAUUGCCUUGUAUUUGAGUAAAUACAGUAAAUGCUAGGCUGAUUAAGGCUUAUCCACAGUAUUGUGUGAAGUUUUGGGCUCUACAUUUUAAGAAGGAUGUGAAGAAAUUGGAGUGGUCCUGAGGAAAGCAACAAAGAUGAUAAUGGGGUUUGAAGGUAAGCUGUACAUGAAGAGUGUGAAAAAGUUAACUUCCUAGCCUUCAUGUCAAAUGUGCUUAAGGGGGACAAUUUCAAAUAUUUGAAAGGCUGCUAUAAAGAAGAGCAAGAAUAACUAUUCUUCCUCGCUGCGGAAGAUAGGCCACAAUGCAACAGUUUUAAAUUACAGAAAAAUAGAUUUAAAUUAGACAUCAAGAAAUACUUCCUUACUGUUAAAUAGGAAGGUAGUGGAAUAGACUGCUCAUGGAAGUUGUAAAUUUGCCUUCACUGGAAGUUUUCAAGAGGAGGCUAGAUAAACAUUGGGCAGGAAUGGUUUAGGAAUAGCAUUCCUGCCUUUGUAUAGAGGGUUGUGCCAGAAGUCCCAUGAGAUACCUUCCAGAACUAAAAUUCCAUGAAUCUGAUUCAGGCACAUUUUACUGAACUAAAAUGAACUGUGUAAAACUUUUUCACAAAACUACAAAGCACUACGAGGGAAAGAAGAGAUGGAUGAGGAGUGUGAGGAUCAUGAUGAGUCCCCCUUACCUGCUUGUCCCAUCUUUAAGCACCUCUUACACAUAUGCAGCUUGUCUCUUAGGAGAAACUUAACUUCUGUGCUACCCUGAAGGAGCUAUGUUAUGCCAUUUGUGAAAAUACCAAUGCAUACACUUUCUCAUCAUUUGUUUUCGUGGCUUGAAAGGAGAAUGGUUCACAACUCAAUGCCUGUCCACUACAGGAGAGGAUUGUGCAAAUCAAAAAUAUUCCAUGUGUGAGCUGCACCGUCUUGUUUUCUCAAAGCAUCAGGAAGAUUUGAAAGGCUCCAUCAAAAUGCACGUUGACAUAGAGGCUAAGGGACAGAUCAGGAUACUGGGCUUCAAGUAGAAGGGGCCAGGCCAACUUGUGGUGGUAGAUGGCAAACUGGAGCCUGAGUAUGAGAGGACUGAUGCAGUUAUUGGAAGUGGACUGAUUUCUAAGGUAAUCUUUUAUCAUCCAACAGAUAAAGGUCCAAGAAACUGGCAAUAUAAGAAACAAGGUGCUCAGAGAUUGCAGUGUUGUCUGACCUCAAUGACAUAAAAGAAAAUGUAGGAGAGGAUUAUAGCCUUUGUUUUCCUCUUUUGGUGGAACAAGGUUUGCAUCUGAAAUGAAGACAGUGGUUGUGAAGGGCAAAUUUUAUUUUUGAUUUGAUAAAAUUUGUUCAUUUAACACGAGCCAAGUUUUAGCCUUUAUGAGGUCAGAAGGCCAAUUUAGAGAUGAAAAGAUGCAGCAAGCUCAUAGUGUUUCUGUAGCUGUGUACAUGAGACACUUCAAACACAGUAGAUUAAUUCUGUUGUGUAGUAGUGUGGUGGGCAAAGCCUGUGCUAAUGCUCAGUAUAUUUAGGCUAAUGUGCAGUAGCAUCUACAAACAAACUGUUCAUCUGUACUAAUGCACAGUAGCACUGAUUAUGGUGCAUAAAGUUAAUAUCUGUCAUUACAGGUACUAAACUUAAUGUGCCAUAAUUAUGGAGCAUUGAUGAAUGUGUAGAUGUGCCCAUCAUUCUGCAAAGAGGAUUAGUGUUAUUCCCAUUUUGCCAAGAGGAAAACUGAAGCACAGACAAGUAAGUAACUUCCUCAAGGUUGCCCAGCAGGUCACCAGCAGAACUAGGAAUAAUGGACUCCUAUACACAUGCAGGGAGGCUGCUCCAACACACUGUAAUUCCGACAUGUCAGAGCAGACUCCAUUAAUCGCAUCAGGUGGAGUGUGGUAAUUACUGUGGUCCAGCAGACUCCAGCAUCACGUGCAUCAGUGUCCCUGCACUGAAAAAUGGUGGCAGGGCACUUUCAAUUAAAGCUCGUUUGAUAAGCUUUAGUUCAAAGCAGCCCACCACCAUUUUUUAGUGCAGGGAUGCUGAUACACAAAUGCUUUGGGUGUUUUUAAUUAUCAUAGUGCCUCUCCCACUUCCUGGAACAUGUCUAUAAAUGCCCAAUAAGUUCUACUCCAGUGCUCCACCUCUUAAAAUAUGCUCCCUCCUUCAUGUGUAAGCCACUCUUUGGCUACUCUGUGACAUGGGAAGCUGCCCACACAGAUGUGGGCAUUAACUCUGUAUGUAUGGGUUCUGUAGGAUGCUUUGCUACCAUGGGGUGGGGGCAGAACACAUCUGGGAAGAAAUCUGCUCUGGUCAGCUGCACCAGCAGGGGCCUAGCCUUCUGCUUGGGGCAGAGCCACAUGGCUGGGAGUUCCUCCAGCCAUGUGGCAGGGACAGCUCUGCAGCUAGCUCAGGCUAGCCUCCAUACCCCUAGCCUGACCCCUGGGGCCUGUGCUAGCUGCUGCCUGACCCUGGGCACUGUGCUUUUCUGUUGCAGGCACAUGCUGGCUGCAGAAACACUGCAGACCCUGGCUUUACCCCUUGGGACCUGUGCCUCCAGCUGCCUCAUCCCCAGGCACCAUGGCCCUCUGCUGCAGGCACGUGCGGGCCGCAGUAGUGUCACAGACCGCAGCUCUGUCCCUCAGGGCCAAUGCUUCCAGCUGCGUGGCUCUGGGCACAUGUCAAGCCCUGGUGGCAUCCAGAGUCCCUCCCUGAGACCCCGAGGUCCCUGGCUGCACUUGCAAUGGUGGUCUCCCUAAAGCCAGAGAUAUCGACUUGAGGCUCCAACUGGAUUGAGCAAGUGACCAGUGACCUCAUAGCAGUCUUUGGCAAGUCCUGCCAUGUGUACUUGAGCACAAGCGGGCUGCCAGAGCCUGUGCUGUGGCGACCAACUCUGGGUGUGCACUCCAAGUGUAGAGGUGAGGCUGUGGAUGGCCCCAGUGACAAGCAGCUCCAGCUUCUCCCUGGAGGGGGCCACUGCCUGGUAGGCCAGGUACCAUGCCUUUGUGCCCUGUGACACUGCAGGCAGCCAGGCCACCUCACCACUACUGGGGACAGUCAGAUUGUCAGGAUUUCCUGCCAUGCCCAUCUGGUAAGCUCCACAUAGGGAGAAGGGCCAGGCAGGGAAGGGGGCACUGUAGCCACCUGUGCCCACACCAUCUCACCUGCCCUCCGGGCUGCACACCUGGAGCUAGGGGCCCUGCAUGGGGGGUGGGAACCCUACCCCUCCUUCCCUCUCCUCCAUGCCCUGUCUGGAUAAGCUGCAGCCUGGCUGUCUGGGUUCCCCCCACAGUAUACAGGGAGGUGGGACAUAGUUCAGGACUUUGAGUGCCCAGUACCCUCCCAGUUAGGCAGCUAGGGGCUUGUCACAUACAGAGAAACUCAUUGAUGGCAACUGUGAUCUCCUCCUUGGCCAUGGGGGUCAGAGACUCAGUGUAGGCAGAAAUACCCCUCCAGGUGGCAAUGCAUAUCGUGAGGAAGCACGGGCUUACUUGGGGCACUGUUGAAGCUCAGGACCCUGCACCAGGUUCUCAACAGCUUCUGGGAUACUAUGGUGAUUAGCAGCAGCAGGGUCAUGGGUCAGGCACCCCUCAGUGUGCUCAAACAGUUCAUCACAGUGUACCCAGGUGACCCCAUGCAUAGUGAGGGCCCUGAUCUGGGGUGCUUCUCUGGGGAGGGCCAUUGGGGGGGAGGAGCAGGGGUGUCAUCAGCUCCACAUCCCAGCCAGAUGGGAGUGACUCACCCCCUGACCCCAAGUACCAUGGGCCUGACAGCACAGAAGCAAACUGCUUGGCCUAUAGGGAGGAGAAGUGGGGGAGUUGAUCUGGAGCCACCAUGGCAAUUACCAGCAAAAGCCAGCCCUGGCCCAGCCUGGGGAGGAGAGGGGGAAGGCAGACUGUCUUCUACAAAUGGGAAGUGUCCCACUUGCCCUCAUGGAGGAAGUGGAGAUUGAAGGCUCAUUCAGUGGCUGCCUGUGGCAGGGCAUGCGUGGCCAAUUUACUAUGGUCCUUGGGCACCUGUGCAUGCAUAACCCCUGAUCUGAGGCCAGGUGCUGCACAACAUCUCAGUCCAGUGCAUGUUAUCUCUGAAAUGUUGCAAAUUUUCACAAAGAGCCUCUUCAUCCUUGCUCUAUAGAUCCAGCAUCUGGAUCCAGAGGAGAAUCACCAGCUGCUGGUGGGGAUGCACCUGUGCAUGUGCCACCUCCAUCAGCAGUGGAUACAGGAGCAGAACCUGGUGUUGGAGUAGCUGGUCACAACAGAAUAGGACUGGGUCAAGACUUGCAGGCCUGGUGAGCCCAGGAUCCAGAGUGGGAGAGGGACAGGGAGGACUGCGCUUUUGAAGAGCGGCUCCUUUCUGUUGAGGAGAAGUACAUCUCCCUCCUCGAGAGGAUACAUGAAGCCCAGGAGAAGCAGGCCACCUUGGUGGCCCGGGCAGUGGAGGCAACCAAGCAGAACUUCAGGGUGCUGGAUACCAUCCUGCCCUGGCAGUCAGCUUCAUGCCACCUGGCCCUACCUGCCCACUGGCAGCCACCCACAGCUCAGUGCCAAGCCCCCCAGUGGGCUUGUGAUGAGGUUCAGCACUGCCAUCAGUGGCAAGGGCCUCCUGAGCCAGGUCCCCUGGUGGCCUGGACCCCCACCUGGGCUGCUGCUUGCUGCUUGCCUGGCUGUCGUGAGGUCCCUGGACUGGAGUUGCCCACAGCUGGGCAAGCUCUGCACACGGGCCCUUCUGGCUCUCACCCCAUGGUGGAGGAGGGGGAACAGUCUGAGUAGGCUGGACAGCACCUGGCCUUACCCCUGGAUGAGCCCCCAGUCCCCUGGCCUCACUGCAGCAUCUACACCCACAGUGGUGCUGCCAGAGGCUGGGAUACUGGAUGCAUUUCCCUGCUAUCCAUGUCAGAGAUGCUUCCAUCCCACUGUUUCC